rnacentral:misc_RNA from 1 species
CUGACCGCGACCUGCGACCGCCCUAUGCUGGCCCCGGCCGGGUCCCGCUGUGCGCCCUCUGCGUGCCCACUCCACCGGCCUCGCCCCCCCCCCCCCACCGCGGCCGCCCUGUGCCGGUCCCGGCACCGCGCCCUCUCUAUCGGCCUCGCUCCAGUCGCUUGCGCCAGGAGCUCGUCGGGCCGACCUCGCUUGCCCCUGCGUCCAGGAGCCCCCGGAGCGAGCUCACGCCAGCCUCCAGCCUUCGCUUGGAGAAGGCGCGCUAGGGCCGCGCCGUCCCCGCCAGCGUCAUGGUGGCAGCUUUAUGGAACUGAAACACCAACUCUACAGAAGAUGGCUACCAAGAUCCUAUCUUUAACAGCAAGUUCUUCUGGUUGUGAAAGAAAUUGGAGUGGGUUUGAUGGGGUGCACACUAAGAAGAGAAAUAGGCUUACUACAGACCGCCUCAACAAGUUGGUCUACAUUCAGUUCAACAACAGGCUAAUUAAUACAAGUCCAAGAAAAUUACUGAUGUUCUCUUGUCUAGUGGUACAACUGAAGCUCAAGGUUUCCUCCAAGAGAAUGGAGAUGAUUGUGCAUUAG